GCCUGGCUGGCUUAGUCGGUUAAGCGUCCGAUUUCAGCUCAGGUCACGAUCUCAAGGUUCAUGGGUUCGAGCCCAUGUGAGGCU
rnacentral:tRNA from 1 species